UCAGGACCCACCUCUCCAUCCUCUUCUUCUUCCACUUCAUCUUGUGGUUCCAGCCUUAUCAUUGAGGUCACUUCAAAUGGGCUUUAGUCUGUUAGAUAGAUCAUCAAGAAAACCACUCUCAGU
rnacentral:sRNA from 1 species